AUUGAACGCUGGCGGCAGGCUUAACACAUGCAAGUCGAGCGGUAACAGAGAGAAGCUUGCUUCUCUGCUGACGAGCGGCGGACGGGUGAGUAAUGCCUAGGAAUCUGCCUAGUAGUGGGGGAUAACUUGCCGAAAGGUAAGCUAAUACCGCAUACGUCCUACGGGAGAAAGGAGGGGACCUUCGGGCCUUUCGCUAUUAGAUGAGCCUAGGUCGGAUUAGUUAGUUGGUGAGGUAAUGGCUCACCAAGACCGCGAUCCGUAACUGGUCUGAGAGGAUGAUCAGUCACACUGGAACUGAGACACGGUCCAGACUCCUACGGGAGGCAGCAGUGGGGAAUAUUGGACAAUGGGGGGAACCCUGAUCCAGCCAUGCCGCGUGUGUGAAGAAGGUCUUAGGAUUGUAAAGCACUUUAAGUUGGGAGGAAGAGCAGUUAACUAAUAUUUGACUGUUUUGACGUUACCGACAGAAUAAGCACCGGCUAACUUCGUGCCAGCCGCCGCCGUAACAC
rnacentral:rRNA from 1 species